AGUCUACUCACCAAGGCUGCACUAAAUGUCCAACCUGUCAGCAGCAUUGACUAAUGCUAAUCCCUUUGUACAGGAUCAUCUCUCAAGGACACCAACAAUCUACUUGGUGGGAUAAGUUUCCUCCAUUGGACCCCUUCUGUAUUGGAAGAAACAAAGAAUGCAUUUUGACUUGACAACACAUAUUCCGGCCCUGAGCUAACAUCUGCUGCCAAUCCUCCUCUUUUUGCUGAGGAAGACUGGCCCUGAGCUAACAUCCAUGCCCAUCUUCCUCUACUUUAUAUGUGGGACGCCUACCACAGCAUGUCAUGCCAAGCAGUGCCAUGUCCACACCCAGGAUCCGAACUGCCGAACUCCAGGCCGCUGAAGCAGAGGUGGAGGUUGAGAAAAGCUCCCAGAAGGAAGGACCAUUGAAUUUGGCCUCAGAGGAUCAAUUAAGCAGAGAGAAGGGAAAAAACCCUGAAGACUGAGAUUGGUAAUUCAACUAAGACGCUGAGUCGGGAAAAAAGAAGACAUAUUUAGGGUGCAAAAUUGUUUAUUAUGCGUAAAAUUCCUGGUGACUCAGAGAGCAUAAAGACAGACAUUAGAGUAGAAAGGGUGUUGAGAUGAGUUGUUGAAGGGUGUUGAGGAGCAGACAGAGGAAUGUAAACUGCAUUCUAGAAUCAAGGUUCUAAGAAAUACCACGAUCAGCUUUGGGUUUGGCAAAGACGAUUCUAAUGGCAGUGUCUACAGAGCAAUUAGAAGGAAGAUAGAUCAGAAGCAGAGAAGUCAGAAGUCAGUUGCAAUUGUCUGAGAAAAAAGAAACAAGGUAAAGUGGCAAUGGGAGUAGAAGAGAGUGGAUGAUUGAAGAGACUUUGUAAAAGUGUGACCAAUAGAUUUAGUGACAGAUGUCAUAGGAGUGAGGGUGAGGCAGAGUUGAAGAGAAUCCCAAGGGUUCUUGCCCCACGCGGAUUGGGUGGACCAAGAUCAGACACCCUUACACCAUUGUGACUUUGUAAGCCCUUCCUUCGGACUGAACUUCUAUUCCCCAUUUACCUCCCGUAGGCCCUCCAGCCCUCUUUCAAAGCUUGAGUCAUAGUCCACUUCCUGCAGAGGAGCUUCUCAGAUUCCCCGCCCUAUACUCCACCCACCCUCAG
rnacentral:lncRNA from 1 species